AUGAUGGAACUCCAAGAACUGAAUGGCAUUCUUGGUAAUGUGGUCUUGGCCACCACCAAAACUGACCGCCGCUACGCUUCAAUCUAUGGUAAAGAGGUGAACACAAGCUACUUUUACAAGUUGGUUACUUUCAGAGGGUUGAGGUGUGAUUUCGCCGGUCUUGUUUGGGAUGGGUUAAUACCCUUGAAGCACAAAAUCUUUCUUUGGCUAGCUUUUUGGGGGCGGUUAAACACAAAAGAUAAUAUGGCCAGGAAGCGUUGGUCGACUCUUGCAGCACAUGUUUCUUGUGAUGUCUGCCCGGCCGUUGAAUCAAUUGCUCACAUACUGCUACGAUGCCGGCCGGCAACAGCUGUUUGGGAGCGACUACGCUUAUCUACUUUGGCUUGUGUUGUGCCAAGUUUAAUCGAGUUUGCGACAGGGGCUGCUCAUCACCUCACGUUUAACAGGAAAUGGAACGUUGCCUUCGUUGCUUGUGCUGUCACGCUUUGGCACGCAUGGAAUGCCCACGUUUUCAACAAUGAGGUAUGA
rnacentral:rRNA from 1 species